AUUGGUCACUCUGCAUUCUGACAAUAGUACCCUCUAUUUUAAAGGGGCUUCUCACAUUAGGGAAAACUUAUUUUCAGUCUCUUCUAUGAAAACACUUUCUGUGGAACAAUUGUCAGCAUUCUAUCCUAAUUUCGGGAGAAAGUGGGAGAAUUCUUGAAAUGCUGAUACCUUCUGUCUUUCUUUGCUAGCUAAGUGGAUUAGUGUAUAUAGUAAGAUGCACUUGUAAAGCUUUCUUUAGUACAAAUGCCCUCUUCAAAGGGUUUUUAAAAACCUGGCAUUUAGAAGAUUUUUUUGAUAACUAGACAAGUUGCCCACAGGCUAGCAAUAUUUUAAACCUGUAGCGCUUGUACUUUACCUUUGGAACUGACUGUAACAGGUUAAUAACUAGCUUCUCUCUUCUUCUUCUCUCCCUCCCCCCCCACCCCCCACCCCCAACAGGAAACAGAUUCAGAGUACCAUAGUAGGAAACCUGAACCAGAAUUCUAACUUACUUUUGAAGACUAAGUCUUCCUCAGUAAACUAAUACAGGAAACUUGUCUUCCCUCAUCAUUCCAAACUUGAGGAGACAGACUAAGCAUUCUCCAAAUUCCACAAUAUAGGAUGCACUCCCUUCUCCCGCUGAAAUAUUUGGGUCACGAGUGCCACUCUGUAUUAAGUUACACUUGGGAGUGUAGAUGUUAUAACUAGUGCAGUCUUAAUGUGUUCUUGCUGGAUUUAAGUGAUAGGAAUCUAUUGCUACUCUGGAAUGACUUUCUGGUUUCAGCUGAAAAGGAGUUCUGAGUGCUAACCCAUCAGAAACAUCCAGCAAAUACAUGCCAUGGCAACAAUUUCUGCAAAAAAAGACAAGGACUUCAGCCAGUAGCCAAGGAUUUAAGCAUAUGCCGUAUACUCUCCUCUUCUUCUCUACCCCCCCCCCCCCCAAUUUAGCAGUGGAUUUCAAGCUUCAAUGAAGAAGAUGUAACAAGCUUCCAGCUAGACACACUUCUAAAACUUUAGCUGCCAAAUAAAUAAAACUAAAGACUCUAGAAAUCAUUAGGGAGCUCACACCUCAGUCUACAGUGAAAGCUCUUGUAUGGGAUAAAUCCUGCAGAGGCUUGAUGGCUGGCUCCCCAACUGCUUAUCUUGAAACUAGGAUUAAUCUUUAAACGCUAGUUCAAAUAUAAUCAGGUGGCCUUAGUUUAAAUGUGAUCAGAGGUUCUCGCCCAUAUGAUAACUAGAAUUUGCUUGGUAAGCAACUACCUGAUCAGCCAGCCAUUAUGGUAGGGAGCAGCAGUGGAGAAUUGGACUUCUGAGAAGGACCAAAAUCUUAAAGCAUUCAGAUUACAACUUGAAAAUUUGCAGCCUUUCAAUUAGCUGAAGGCCCCACACCUCACUGAGUAAAGCACAUUAGCUAGAUGUUAAUGCUGCAGAGUGAAAUAGUUAAAGCUGACACUUAAAUGGGCUGUAAGCUAAAGUUUAAAGUGUCAUUUUGAUAAAUAUGCACUUAGCGCCUUAUGGUGCAGAUUUUUGACUGUAGGUAACUGCUGCAGCUUACAUGCCGAGGCUGAGAGCUAUCUUUGCUUCCAGAAAUGAGGGGAUCUUAUUCUCUGAGCUGUGAAUCUUUCACUCCCAUUUAGGCCUCUAACUUUUCAAGUGAAAUGUUAUUUAAGGAAAUGAAACCAAAACACCAAAGGGAGACCCUGAAUCCAGAAAUUCUCAGAGUAGACUGCAAACCAUGUGUAAAUUGGGGGAAAUUUACCAAAAAACCCUCCACUGACUUAUUUGGGAUUAGUAUUGAUGGGAGCUGUAGUGUAUGUAGACAUGGCUGAACACUUAAAAUAGCUGAAAGCAAGACAAGUUGCUAAGUGCAUGCUGUAAGUGCAACUCUUCCCAGAACUGUGUUUUAAUUAUGGUCAGUCCCAUGCUACAUUUAUUACAAUUAAUGUCAGUACUAUUUCUGGGACUUCUAGAGUAAAAUGGCUUCAGCCAUUUAAGUAGCCCACCAUGUUCCUUUACAGGAGAAAGAGUCUUAACUUGAUUGUCAUUUCAUGAAGCCACAUUUCAUGUUUAUAGUGGAGGUUUUCCAAAUACUCAGCUCAGUUCCUUGCUCGUCUUCUGUCUCUUAUCUGCAGAUUUUCCAGCAUUUUUGCGAGAGUAAGCAAAGAAAUAUGUCUCAAACAAUGUUAAUCAUGUUUCACACUAAACAUCUUGGCAUAAUAGCUCAAGCAUGCACAUUUCAGUUAAGCAACGCAUUGAUAACUUACAAAAUUUUCUUAAAUUAACAGAUUAUUGAAAUAUCAAGCUAUAGUUUAACAGCUGUCCUUACUUGCAUUAUUAAUGCAUUAGAUGUUUAAAACCGCAUUUCUUCAUCUGUUCACCAUUUAGGCACUUCCUUUUUGCUAGCAGGCUUCCUUUUUUAUUUUUGUUUAACCAACUUCUGUUGGUGAAAGAGACAAGCUUUUGAGCUUACAGAGCUCUUCAGAUCUGGAGAAGCUACUCAGUGUCACAUAGCUAAAUACAAGUUUGUUUAGCAUAAGGAGUUAACCUGUUGUAAGAGCCUUCUCAAGGUGAAGUGUGUAGUUAACAAACUUGCAGUCCUAGGACAAAGGAAGUGGGUCAUACAUGGUUGUAAUGAGCCAUAAAUCCAGUAUCUUUGAGUCCAUGAUUUCUAGUGUCUUAACAGUUAAGAAUUUAAGCUCCCAGGCUUGUCUUUUGAAGGCUUUUUAUUCUUAUGCACUAAGACAUAAAUACUGUAGGAACAUCUGGUUUUUGAAGACAAUCCAAAUUAGAAACCCAAAUACUUUUUUCCACUGUCCUCCAUCUAUCUUGGAUGAGAUUUCUUUUGAAUGGGAUAUCUUAGUAUGUAAAUCCAUUUCUCAAGCAGUCUAGCCUGGAACAUAUGACUGUCAGGUUUAAGUGAUUUCAGACUGACCCUGACUAGUCUAUAUACACUGAUUUUUAUAUUUCCCCCCCUCCCCACAACUGAGUGAAUGGUUUGAGAACCCACUUAUUCUAAGUGCAUGUUUCUUCACCAAAAUGGAUUUAUAGAGAUGUAUAAAACUAUAGGGUUUUUUAUUUUGUUGCAUACUACACCUACCAAAUGACUCAGAAAACCACAACUGUAAGUUUUCUGUGACAGUCCAGGGCCCUUAGCAACAGUGGUGAAUGUUGGCAACAAUAUAGAAUUUGCUGACAUCAGAAUAGCAGUUCAGAAAAGAUAAUUUUGGUUAGAAUUAAUUAGUCUGUGUGAGAAAGAACUGGAGACUAGCUGCUGUCUGUAAGUAUGCAAUGGUGUUCUGUCCUUAGGCUUGCUUAGUUUUAUUUUCUAAAUCUGGUCUGAUCAGUGUACAUACUCGGGUUUGUCUCGGUUGGAGUGUAAAGUACAGUAUAAUAGGAUAGUGUCCUAUAUUCUCCUCUAGAAGUUACGAUUCAUGUAAUGUUAUGAAUACAAACUUUCAGAAUGCUAUUUGCUUAGUCUUUCAAAUUAAUUAAAACCCUACCACCUGG